GAUGAACGCUGGCGGCGUGCUUAACACAUGCAAGUCGAACGAUGAAGCCCAGCUUGCUGGGUGGAUUAGUGGCGAACGGGUGAGUAACACGUGAGUAACCUGCCCUUAACUCUGGGAUAAGCCUGGGAAACUGGGUCUAAUACCGGAUAGGAGCGCCUACCGCACGGUGGGUGUUGGAGAGAUUUAGCGGUUUUGGAUGGACUCGCGGCCUAUCAGCUUGUUGGUGAGGUAAUGGCUCACCAAGGCGACGACGGGUAGCCGGCCUGAGAGGGUGACCGGCCACACUGGGACUGAGACACGGCCCAGACUCCUACGGGAGGCAGCAGUGGGGAAUAUUGCACAAUGGGCGAAAGCCUGAUGCAGCGACGCCGCGUGAGGGAUGACGGCCUUCGGGUUGUAAACCUCUUUCAGUAGGGAAGAAGCGAAAGUGACGGUACCUGCAGAAGAAGCACCGGCUAACUACGUG
rnacentral:rRNA from 1 species